UACGAAGGGGGCGAGCGUUGUUCGGAUUUACUGGGCGUAAAGGGCGCGUAGGCGGCCAUUCAAGUCAGGCGUGAAAGCCCCGGGCUUAACCUGGGAGGUGCGCUUGGGACUGGGUGGCUAGAGAUCGGGAGAGGAGAGUGGAAUUCCCAGUGUAGAGGUGAAAUUCGUAGAUAUCAGGAGGAACACCGAUGGCGAAGGCAGGUCUCUGGGCAUUAACUGACGCUGAGGAGCGAAAGCAUGGGGAGCGAACAGG
rnacentral:rRNA from 1 species